GGCGGCGUGCCUAACACAUGCAAGUUGAACGAAGAGGCUCCCUUCGGGGAGCACUUCAGUAGCGUAACGGUGAGUAACACGUAGGUGACCUGCCCCGAAGCAGGGAAUAACGGCUCGAAAGGGCCGCUAAUACCCAAAAGGAUCGCGUAUCAAACCGCGUUCAGAGCCCCCUUCGGGGGACGUUUCGGGAGGGGCCUGCGGCCCAUCAGCUAGUUGGUAGGGUAAUGGCCUACCAAGGCGACGACGGGUAGGGGGCCUGAGAGGGUGGUCCCCCACACUGGCACUGACACACGGGCCAGACUCCUACGGGAGGCAGCAGUGAGGAAUAUUGCACAAUGGGCGAAAGCCUGAUGCAGCAACGCCGCGUGGGUGAUGAUGGCCUUCGGGUCGUAAAACCCUUUUCUGGGGAAAGAGAGAGGACGGUACCCCAGGAAUAAGGUUCGGCUAACUACGUGCCAGCAGCCGCGGUAAAACGUAGGAACCGAGCGUUAUCCGGAUUCAUUGGGCGUAAAGCGCCUGCAGGCGGUCUUGUAAGUUGGACGUGAAAUCUCUCGGCUCAACUGGGAGGUGCCGUUCAAUACUGCAGGACUUGAGGGCAGAAGAGGGAAGCGGAAUUCCCGGUGUAGUGGUGAAAUGCGUAGAUAUCGGGAGGAACACCAGUGGCGAAGGCGGCUUCCUGGUCUGCACCUGACGCUAAGAGGCGAAAGCUAGGGUAGCGAACGGGAUUAGAAACCCCGGUAGUCCUAGCCGUAAACGAUGGACGCUAGGUGUAGGUGGUCCUAACCCCAUCUGUGCCGAAGCUAACGCGUUAAGCGUCCCGCCUGGGGACUACGACCGCAAGGUUAAAACUCAAAGGAAUUGACGGGCCCCCGCACAAGCAGCGGAGCGUGUGGUUUAAUUCGAUCCUACACGAAGAACCUUACCCAGGUUUGACAUGCAAGUAGUAGUGAAACGAAAGUGGAACGACCCUUCGGGGAGCUUGCACAGGUGCUGCAUGGCUGUCGUCAGCUCGUGCCGUGAGGUGUUGGGUUAAGUCCCCUAACGAGCGCAACCCUCGCCGUCAGUUACAAGUGUCUGACGGGACUGCCGGCCUCAAGCCGGAGGAAGGUGGGGGUGAUGUCAAGUCAGCAUGGCCUUUAUGCCUGGGGCUACACACACGCUACAAUGGCCGGUACAAUGGGUUGCCAACCCGCAAGGGGGAGCCAAUCCCACAAAGCCGGUCUCAGUUCGGAUUGGAGGCUGCAACCCGCCUCCAUGAAGCUGGAGUUGCUAGUAAACGCGCGUCAGCCAUAGUGCGUUGAAUACGUUCCCGGGGCUUGUACACACCGCCCGUCACGUCAUGGGAGCUGGCAACACCUGAAGCCGGUGAGCUAACCGCAAGGAGGCAGCCGUCGAGGGUGGGGCUGGUGACUGGGACGAAGUCGUAACAAGGUA
rnacentral:rRNA from 1 species